UAAAGGGAUUCUAGCAUGUCCACAUCAUCAAUUAUAUUUGGCCAAUAAGAACAUUUCAUUAAUCCACGCUGGCAAAAGAACUGGGUGGCAGAUCUCUUUCUUUCUACGGGCUCUGCUGUGUUUGAUGGGCUUCUCCGGUUCUGUGUUGGGCUGUGUUACCCAGUUUGAAUAAAAAAAAAACUUCAACGCAAGAUUGGAUAACACGAGGCUCUACGCUUCUCGCUCUUCGUCUUCACCUUUCUUCACCAUCGUUUCAGUUCUCCCGAUCCAGAACUCCACUACAUCUCUAUCCAUCAAUUCCUUCUUUAUGAUUUCGAUUCCGUUUAGAUUGGUUAGGGUUUAGAUCUCGAUUUGCUCAAUUUGUUGUUCGUUUGCUUUUAUAGGUGGUUACAGUGAAAGUGUUAUUAGCUUAAACGAUGGAGAAGGUGUACGAAGAGCUAGACGAAGUCAAAGCCGCGAACGAGAAGCUCAGAGGAGACUUCAGAGCCAAAACGGAGCUUCUUGAGAACCUAAAGAAGGUUCAGAACAAGCAGUUGAUAGAGAUUCAAGAGGCGAGAUCUGUAAUCGAGAAGCAAGGUUAUGCCUUCAGAAACUCACUUAGGUCGGACUUUGUAAAUUGCAAUCAUGUGGCCGCUUUGCCUUCUGGAGUUUCCAGUGGAUUCGAUAGUUUCUUUUCAGCGUCAUAAUUCAAAUCUCCACUGAUGUUUCAUCUUAUUGGCUUAUUUAAGUGAUUUCUUAAUAAUCCACAUGACCAGUAAGCUCCAUGCAUGAUCAUCUCACGUCGACUCUGUUUUUUUUUCUGAUUGGGGAUCCUUGAUUCUUGCUUUCUUAAUAAGAUUUUUUUUCUGAUAAUUCAUUUUUCCGUCACAAACGAAAUGGGAACACAUUGAUAAUAUAACCUCUACCCGUGUUCUUUCUUAUAUAAUUGGUGUGAUCUAAUAUUUUAACAAGCUUCAGUCUUGAUUAAUUUGUGUUUUUGGUUUUUCACAAGGAAGGUAUGGUGAUGGAGAAUGAGUAAUACGACACCUUAACAGUCAAAACUGAUACUUCCGAAGCUAACACUAAAAAGACAAGCAAGGACAGUUCAUCGGAGAUUCUCAAGCUACUACAAAAUUUCAGUUCUGUUUUUUGGUUCAAGGUGAUGGGAUCAGUCCUUGCGAUUAAACAUAUUACUCACAUUUUUCCUGAGCGAGAGUAUAUGAUUGGGUAAUUGAUGUCUCUUGGUUUUUGCAAGUGUUCAAGAAUUCCUGGUGUUCUCUUUGACCUUAUGUUGAUUUAGAGUACAAAAAAUACAGAGGUAAUUACUUUUCUAUUAUCUGCUUGAGGGCUUUGUCUUCGUCAUUUACUUAUUGCCGUUAGCGUUAAAAAGAAGUUUGUGUCAUGUUUGUUGCUUUUAUAUGGCUUGCAAGUUUUGUCUGAAUGACCAGGUGAAGAGAGAGAGAAGCGUCAGUCGCGCUACGUCGGUGCCGCCAUUAGAGAGAAACUGUUUUUAUUGGCAGCAGAGCAGACAAGAAACAACAUGGAGAGUAAUAAUGAAGUCUAUGCUAUGUUAGAAGGUUUGAAUUCUUGGACAUGGUGGUGAUGCACGAAGUGUUAUUGUGGGCACAAGGAAGGGCUUGUGAGGAACAUAUACUUCCCGUUUGACAUAGAAAGCGACACGGCAAUUUGCGUUGCAAGAGAGAUGGUGGAAGAGCUGGAGAUGGACGACCGUGAUGUGACAAAGAUAGCUAACAUGAUCGAUGGAGAGAUUGCUUCUCUGGUUCCUGAUUGGAGAUCAGGCCUAGGGUUUGAGAGCAGUUUUUGCAACUGCGCCUCGAACCGGUCAGCUAUAGACUUCAACGUGAGGCAGUGUUGUACAAACAUGUGUGGAGAGAAGCAUGGACGGUUUGAGGAGAUCACUUCGGGACUACACAACUUUGGCAAAGCUUUAUAUUCCCAUGGAAAAAUGACAUUUUUGCUGUCUUUUGUUAAUAUGUGUAGAAUUUUUUACAGUAAUGUUGACAAACCAAGAAAUAUCACAGUAAUUAUUUAAUCAUAGCUCAUUAGGCCGGUGACUGUCUUGAAAUCAGUUUAUCAUUCUCAAUUUUGAAAAAUAAACAAAAAGACAUUCUUUUUUAUCAUUAAAAAAAAUUAUAUAUUUUUAGAA